rnacentral:SRP_RNA from 1 species
CGGCGGGUCUAGGCGGGGGGCUAGGGGUCCCCUGAGGGGCUUUAAAGCCCCGACCGCAAACCCUCUACACGGCGGGCCGAAAGCCAGGGCUGAGGCGGCCCAGGACCGCUGGGGCGCCCCGCCUAUCCGGCUAUGACCAUCCGUCCCCUGGGGCCGGCGGUCAUGGGGGCGCCUCCGUAGGGGGGCGACCCACCAUGUUUGCCGGGUGAACCUGGCCAGGCCCGGGAGGGAGCAACCUAAGCCCGGACGUUCGGCGCUCAGGGGGGUGCGGGUGGAAGCACGGGGGCGGAGACACCCCAACGGACACCGGGCGUCGAACCCUGGGACCCGCCG